AUAUCAAUAAGCGGAGGAAAAGAAACUAACAAGGAUUCCCUUAGUAGUGGCGAACGAAGUGGGAAAAGCUCAGAUUUGGAAUCGCGCAAGCGAAUUGUAGUUUGGAGAAGCAGCAUAGUGUCUGGUCAAGUGCGCCAAGUCCCGUGGAACCGGGCAUUGGAAAGGGUGAGAAUCCCGUACGUGCAUGCGAUCAGGCAGUCCUUUGCGCUCUCAAGGAGUCGGGUUGUUUGGGAAUGCAGCCCUAAAUGGGUGGUAGGCAUCAUCUAAAGCUAAAUAUAGGCACGAGACCGAUAGCGCACAAGUA
rnacentral:rRNA from 1 species